rnacentral:rRNA from 2 species
GCUUGCAUCAUGAUUUACAUUUGAGUGAGUGGCGAACUGGUGAGUAACACGUGGGAAACCUGCCCAGAAGCGGGGGAUAACACCUGGAAACAGAUGCUAAUACCGCAUAACAACUUGGACCGCAUGGUCCGAGUUUGAAAGAUGGCUUCGGCUAUCACUUUUGGAUGGUCCCGCGGCGUAUUAGCUAGAUGGUGGGGUAACGGCUCACCAUGGCAAUGAUACGUAGCCGACCUGAGAGGGUAAUCGGCCACAUUGGGACUGAGACACGGCCCAAACUCCUACGGGAGGCAGCAGUAGGGAAUCUUCCACAAUGGACGAAAGUCUGAUGGAGCAACGCCGCGUGAGUGAAGAAGGGUUUCGGCUCGUAAAACUCUGUUGUUAAAGAAGAACAUAUCUGAGAGUAACUGUUCAGGUAUUGACGGUAUUUAACCAGAAAGCCACGGCUAACUACGUGCCAGCAGCCGCGGUAAUACGUAGGUGGCAAGCGUUGUCCGGAUUUAUUGGGCGUAAAGCGAGCGCAGGCGGUUUUUUAAGUCUGAUGUGAAAGCCUUCGGCUCAACCGAAGAAGUGCAUCGGAAACUGGGAAACUUGAGUGCAGAAGAGGACAGUGGAACUCCAUGUGUAGCGGUGAAAUGCGUAGAUAUAUGGAAGAACACCAGUGGCGAAGGCGGCUGUCUGGUCUGUAACUGACGCUGAGGCUCGAAAGUAUGGGUAGCAAACAGGAUUAGAUACCCUGGUAGUCCAUACCGUAAACGAUGAAUGCUAAGUGUUGGAGGGUUUCCGCCCUUCAGUGCUGCAGCUAACGCAUUAAGCAUUCCGCCUGGGGAGUACGGCCGCAAGGCUGAAACUCAAAGGAAUUGACGGGGGCCCGCACAAGCGGUGGAGCAUGUGGUUUAAUUCGAAGCUACGCGAAGAACCUUACCAGGUCUUGACAUACUAUGCAAAUCUAAGAGAUUAGACGUUCCCUUCGGGGACAUGGAUACAGGUGGUGCAUGGUUGUCGUCAGCUCGUGUCGUGAGAUGUUGGGUUAAGUCCCGCAACGAGCGCAACCCUUAUUAUCAGUUGCCAGCAUUAAGUUGGGCACUCUGGUGAGACUGCCGGUGACAAACCGGAGGAAGGUGGGGAUGACGUCAAAUCAUCAUGCCCCUUAUGACCUGGGCUACACACGUGCUACAAUGGAUGGUACAACGAGUUGCGAACUCGCGAGAGUAAGC